rnacentral:tRNA from 1 species
GGUGGUAUAGCACAGUGGUAGAGGGUGUGCUUAGCAUGCAUGAGGUCCUGGGUUCAGUCCCCACUACCUCCA